rnacentral:rRNA from 1 species
AUUGAACGCUGGCGGCAUGCCUUACACAUGCAAGUCGAACGGUAACAGGCCGCAAGGUGCUGACGAGUGGCGAACGGGUGAGUAAUACAUCGGAACGUGCCCGAUCGUGGGGGAUAACGCAGCGAAAGCUGUGCUAAUACCGCAUACGAUCUACGGAUGAAAGCGGGGGAUCGCAAGACCUCGCGCGGACGGAGCGGCCGAUGGCAGAUUAGGUAGUUGGUGGGGUAAAGGCCUACCAAGCCGACGAUCUGUAGCUGGUCUGAGAGGACGACCAGCCACACUGGGGACUGAGACACGGCCCAGACUCCUACGGGAGGCAGCAGUGGGGAAUUUUGGACAAUGGGCGCAAGCCUGAUCCAGCCAUGCCGCGUGCAGGAUGAAGGCCUUCGGGUUGUAAACUGCUU